AAAGUGCACCACCUUAGAGACACCACUACUGGAAACAGACUAGAAAAAGAAAAUCUGAAUGUCUCCAACUAGGAACCCAACAGACAAGGAACAGAUGCCUAAUUAACAGAGUGCAAUUCUUUAGCCAGCUGCGCAUCAGUUUCCUCUGCUUGGCAUCCUACAUGUCUCCAAGUUCUGCACUGACCACCUCAGGCU
rnacentral:lncRNA from 1 species